GUACGCGGGGCGUCUGGAACUUAAAGGGGCAGCGUACCUUGGCCGUCCAGUUCCACAACAAGGUCCCUUCUGCGGUCUCAAAGGCUUAUAAGCAAGGGCGGGGGCAGAGGGCUAAAGAAGGGAGUUUAUGCGGCCCGAGUGGGUAAUGCGUGGAGGACUCCCCCAACUCGUCUCUCAAGGAAAAGGGGGUUCAGAAAGGGAGAGAGUUCUUCCCCCUCUCCUGCCUGGGUGUCGCUCCACCAGCCUCCGGGCCGUCGCGCCCCCUCCUCACUGCGCCACCCCCGGGUGUGCCUCCUUCCCUCCGUCUCACACAGCCCCUUUCUUGUCCGCAAAGACUGAGGAGCGGGGAGGGCGGGCCCUCUGACACCGGAACUGGAGCCGUGCGGCGUCCGGUUUCAGCAGGGAAGGCUUAGGCGGGCGUCCCAGCCUCCGGGCUUCCGGUGCCGUUUCCCGGUUCGCUGGGCCGCGGUCGCUAUGGAGGAGCCGGAGAUGCAGCUCAAGGGGAAGAAAGCGCCGUGAAGAACCUGGUGGACAGCAGCGUCUACUUCCGCAGCGUGGAGGGUCUGCUCAAA
rnacentral:sRNA from 1 species